UUUUUUUUUUUUUGUUUUGCCUCAAUGUACUGAUAAUUUGCUGCUUAGUUAUGGUUAGUCCUGGCUCCUGGACGUUUUUCCUGAUCCCAUCCCCUCUCUCUCUCACUUUGCUUCCUGUCAACUAACUGUCCUAUUAUAAUAAAGGCCAAAAAAAUUUGAAUUAAAAUGAACAUAUUACAUAAAUAUUGCACAAUCCUGCCUGGGGCAGAGUAAGUUUCGACCGUGACUCUUAUAAUCAACCUGACACCCUAUUCCUCAGUGAGUUGUGAGAACAUAUUCUUCAUCUAAUUAAUAUUUGGCUUUCAGAUUAUUUCUUCACUUCUCAAAUUAAGCAGUGAUGCUCAGUAUUUCUGGAGCUUUUUGUUCGAUGUUGUAGAGCUACUUUGGGUCGCUCAGAUUUGGGUGGGUUAUGAGUACAGGAAGGCAGGCGAUCAUACUCAGGAUUUCUUGAGGUGUGUUGGUCAGGAUGGCUGUGGUGGAGAAGAUGAGUGAAGCUCUUGGAUCGGAGGCUCUGCAGGGACAGAGCGCUGAUACUCUACAGCCUGUUUCCAAAAUGGUGCGGGUUUUCAUCACACUCAGACAUGAAACGAGAGAAAUGCAUUGUGGGAGAAGGCCUAUUCUGAGCUACAGGCCUACUGUCAAAGCUUGGAUCUCGUCUUUGAGGUUUGUGCUAAAAACGUAUUUCCAGUCUAGUUUAAUUCUGAUGGGAAACAUAAAAACAGUCUAUAAUGACAAUACAUUUUUAUUUGUUGUUACAAAUGUACUGGUGUUGAAUUUAGUUUUUUUUGUUGUUGUUGUUGUUUUUUCCUUUCUCACAUGUAGUGGAUUUCAGAUGCGGAGUCCUGAGAUGCUCCAUAGUUUUGUUUUUUGUCCACGGGCCGUGUGACUAAAAAUAACUGGGAUCCAACCCCUCUGUUGGCCCUGUGAGCAACAGCUGCUCCUGUCAGGGUUCCAUGGUGUAAUGGUUAGCACUCUGGACUCUGAAUCCAGCGAUCCGAGUUCAAAUCUCGGUGGGACCUGCUUUUGCCCCCAACGUGCGCAAGACCUGGUCCAAAAAACUUUUUGGCAGCAUUGAGCCCCAAAAUCUCACUUAGGGAGUGUUGCUUUGUAGCGUCAAAGCACAGUUUGUCUCUUUAGGGAAGUAAGCGUAAAAGGGCAGGGCCCAACUUGGAGAAUGCGGGCAUCGAUCCCGCUACCUCUCGCAUGCUAAGCGAGCGCUCUACCAUUUGAGCUAAUUCCCCUGACCACUGUGGAGUAACGUCCUUUUGUAUUUUUCGUCCAAUGUACUUUUGUUUUUAAGGCGCUGCUUGGUCCUGUUACCCCAGUAUAUAUGUGUGUGGAUUCAGCCAACUUCUUCCCUCUGUUUCCCACACUGGCUUAAAGUCUAAGGGACAUCUGACAGUUUCAGCUGUCCUCCCUAAGAUCCCUCUACAUGUUAGGUCCAGCCCCAUUUUUGAAUCUAUUCAGAGGCCAACUUUCAUUCGUUGUCCUUUGACACUGUCUCGAGGUGUUUGAUUACUUCCAUGUUAGUUCAUGUUCCUUCUUUUGUUACUGCUGUAGCCAAUCCUCUCUGGGGGUUUUUUUUUUUGACUCGUGGCUAGGUGGACUGGCAAGGCUUGCUUGUUGGUCUUGGGGUAUGAUUCUUGCUUUUGGUAUGAGAGGUCCCGGGUUUAAAUCAGAGAAGAGCCCAUAGCGGGGCUUGGUUCUGAAGCUCUUUUGUCUCUUUAGGGUCACAAGCAAUCAUUAAGUUUUUAGUCAAUCAGGCAGAAGUCCAGUCAAAGCUAGGUUGGUUAGAUCAGUUGGUAAGAGCAUUGUGCUACUAACGCCAAGGGGGCCAACGACCAAAAUUUACUGGGAUCCAACCCCUCUGUCUAACUGCUUCCUCACAGCCAUAAUGCUAUCUGUCUCCCAGGUGUAAUAAUGUAGUUCCAUGGUGUAAUGGUUAGCAUUCUGGACUUUGAAGCCAGCGAUCCGCAUUCAAGUUUCGGUGGAACCUGCGUGGUUUCUUGCAAAAGGAAAAUAAAAAAGUUAAGUGGUUCUGCUGGCGAGCCUGU
ensembl:lncRNA